AUGACAAGAAGUGCAGCUUUUCUUGCUGUGGCCGUGCUGUUGUGCAUCAUACUGUCAGCAGAACCAUCUGAUGUCCUGCGAUGCACAGGGGAGAGACAACGCGAUGGGCAGCUCUACUUCAACAUGUCAUAUGGCCUUAAAGAGGACGUCGAUGACUGCGAGACCCAAUGGGUCAUCAAUGGAAGCGUGGCAGGGAUUUCUAAUGCUGAUGGAAAUAUUUUCAUACCCCCACUUGUAAUGGCAACAGCAAACACUGCCAUCUUACAGACCUGCCCUGAAAAACUUGAAUGCCUGCUCAUCUGCCCCUCCGCCAGUAUCAACACUAGGGAACAGUGCUCUUGUGAUAUCACUUCUCCGACUACACUUCCUGAAGUUGGUUUUCCUGGCCGGAUCGUUGGUGCUGGGAUUGGAGUGAGUGUAUCCGUGAUUCUGUUGUUCUAUGUCACCAUUGUGCUUUACAAGAAAAAAAAAAGGUCAGGAUAUGCUCCAGGUCGUGCUGAAACUGUUUGAUUCUG
ensembl:lncRNA